GGUACACCAGUCGGUAGAGCGCUGGCCUUUUAAGCCAGUGGUCGUGGGUUCGAUCCCCAC
rnacentral:tRNA from 1 species